AGUGAACGCUGGCGGUAGGCCUAACACAUGCAAGUCGAACGGCAGCACAGUAAGAGCUUGCUCUUACGGUUGGCGAGUGGCGGACGGGUGAGGAAUACAUCGGAAUCUACUUUUUCGUGGGGGAUAACGUAGGGAAACUUACGCUAAUACCGCAUACGACCUACGGGUGAAAUCAGGAGAUCUUCGCACCUUGCGUGAUUCAAUUAGCCGAUGUCGGAUUAGCUAGUUGGCGGGGUAAAGGCCCACCAAGGCGACGAUCCGUAGCUGGUCUGAGAGGAUGAUCAGCCACACUGGAACUGAGACACGGUCCAGACUCCUACGGGAGGCAGCAGUAGGGAAUAUUGGACAAUGGGCGCAAGCCUGAUCCAGCCAUACCGCGUGGGUGAAGAAGGCCUUCGGGUCGUAAAGCCCUUUUGUUGGGAAAGAAAAGCAGCAGAUUAAUACCCCGAUGUUCUGACGGUACCCAAAGAAUAAGCACCGGCUAACUUCGUG
rnacentral:rRNA from 1 species